GGCAGCAGCUAAGAAUAUUCCGCAAUGCACGGAAGUGUGACGGAGCGACGCCGCGUGGAUGAAGAAGGCCGGAAGGUUGUAAAAUCCUUUUAGACGGGAAGAAUAAGCCCCGCAGGGAAUGGCGGGGGGUGACUGUACCGUCUGAAUAAGCAACGGCUAAUUACGUGCCAGCAGCCGCGGUAACACGUAAGUUGCGAGCGUUGUUCGGAAUUAUUGGGCGUAAAGGGUAUGUAGGCGGCCGUGAAAGCUUGGUGUGAAAGGCAGGGGCCCAACCCCUGGACUGCAUUGAGAACUGCACGGCUUGAAUUGCUGAAGGGCAGCCGGAAUUCCACGUGUAGGGGUGAAAUCUGUAGAUAUGUGGAAGAACACCGAUGGCGAAGGCAGGCUGCUGGCAGACGAUUGACGCUGAGGUACGAAAGUGCGGGUAGCGAACAGGAUUAGAUACCCUGGUAGUCCGCACAGUAAACGAUGUGCACUAGGUGCGGGUGCCGAAGCAUCCGUGCCGCAGCGAACGCGGUAAGUGCACCGCCUGGGGAGUAUGCCCGCAAGGGUGAAACUCAAAGGAAUUGACGG
rnacentral:rRNA from 1 species